rnacentral:rRNA from 1 species
GGGUUGUGAGGUUAAGCGACUAAGCGUACACGGUGGAUGCCCUGGCAGUCAGAGGCGAUGAAGGACGUGCUAAUCUGCGAUAAGCGUCGGUAAGGUGAUAUGAACCGUUAUAACCGGCGAUUUCCGAAUGGGGAAACCCAGUGUGAUUCGUCACACUAUCAUUAACUGAAUCCAUAGGUUAAUGAGGCGAACCGGGGGAACUGAAACAUCUAAGUACCCCGAGGAAAAGAAAUCAACCGAGAUUCCCCCAGUAGCGGCGAGCGAACGGGGAGCAGCCCAGAGCCUGAAUCAGUGUGUGUGUUAGUGGAAGCGUCUGGAAAGGCGCGCGAUACAGGGUGACAGCCCCGUACACAAAAAUGCACAUGCUGUGAGCUCGAUGAGUAGGGCGGGACACGUGGUAUCCUGUCUGAAUAUGGGGGGACCAUCCUCCAAGGCUAAAUACUCCUGACUGACCGAUAGUGAACCAGUACCGUGAGGGAAAGGCGAAAAGAACCCCGGCGAGGGGAGUGAAAAAGAACCUGAAACCGUGUACGUACAAGCAGUGGGAGCACGCUUAGGCGUGUGACUGCGUACCUUUUGUAUAAUGGGUCAGCGACUUAUAUUCUGUAGCAAGGUUAACCGAAUAGGGGAGCCGAAGGGAAACCGAGUCUUAACUGGGCGUUAAGUUGCAGGGUAUAGACCCGAAACCCGGUGAUCUAGCCAUGGGCAGGUUGAAGGUUGGGUAACACUAACUGGAGGACCGAACCGACUAAUGUUGAAAAAUUAGCGGAUGACUUGUGGCUGGGGGUGAAAGGCCAAUCAAACCGGGAGAUAGCUGGUUCUCCCCGAAAGCUAUUUAGGUAGCGCCUCGUGAAUUCAUCUCCGGGGGUAGAGCACUGUUUCGGCAAGGGGGUCAUCCCGACUUACCAACCCGAUGCAAACUGCGAAUACCGGAGAAUGUUAUCACGGGAGACACACGGCGGGUGCUAACGUCCGUCGUGAAGAGGGAAACAACCCAGACCGCCAGCUAAGGUCCCAAAGUCAUGGUUAAGUGGGAAACGAUGUGGGAAGGCCCAGACAGCCAGGAUGUUGGCUUAGAAGCAGCCAUCAUUUAAAGAAAGCGUAAUAGCUCACUGGUCGAGUCGGCCUGCGCGGAAGAUGUAACGGGGCUAAACCAUGCACCGAAGCUGCGGCAGCGACGCUUAUGCGUUGUUGGGUAGGGGAGCGUUCUGUAAGCCUGCGAAGGUGUGCUGUGAGGCAUGCUGGAGGUAUCAGAAGUGCGAAUGCUGACAUAAGUAACGAUAAAGCGGGUGAAAAGCCCGCUCGCCGGAAGACCAAGGGUUCCUGUCCAACGUUAAUCGGGGCAGGGUGAGUCGACCCCUAAGGCGAGGCCGAAAGGCGUAGUCGAUGGGAAACAGGUUAAUAUUCCUGUACUUGGUGUUACUGCGAAGGGGGGACGGAGAAGGCUAUGUUGGCCGGGCGACGGUUGUCCCGGUUUAAGCGUGUAGGCUGGUUUUCCAGGCAAAUCCGGAAAAUCAAGGCUGAGGCGUGAUGACGAGGCACUACGGUGCUGAAGCAACAAAUGCCCUGCUUCCAGGAAAAGCCUCUAAGCAUCAGGUAACAUCAAAUCGUACCCCAAACCGACACAGGUGGUCAGGUAGAGAAUACCAAGGCGCUUGAGAGAACUCGGGUGAAGGAACUAGGCAAAAUGGUGCCGUAACUUCGGGAGAAGGCACGCUGAUAUGUAGGUGAAGUCCCUCGCGGAUGGAGCUGAAAUCAGUCGAAGAUACCAGCUGGCUGCAACUGUUUAUUAAAAACACAGCACUGUGCAAACACGAAAGUGGACGUAUACGGUGUGACGCCUGCCCGGUGCCGGAAGGUUAAUUGAUGGGGUCAGCGCAAGCGAAGCUCUUGAUCGAAGCCCCGGUAAACGGCGGCCGUAACUAUAACGGUCCUAAGGUAGCGAAAUUCCUUGUCGGGUAAGUUCCGACCUGCACGAAUGGCGUAAUGAUGGCCAGGCUGUCUCCACCCGAGACUCAGUGAAAUUGAACUCGCUGUGAAGAUGCAGUGUACCCGCGGCAAGACGGAAAGACCCCGUGAACCUUUACUAUAGCUUGACACUGAACAUUGAGCCUUGAUGUGUAGGAUAGGUGGGAGGCUUUGAAGUGUGGACGCCAGUCUGCAUGGAGCCGACCUUGAAAUACCACCCUUUAAUGUUUGAUGUUCUAACGUGGACCCGUAAUCCGGGUUGCGGACAGUGUCUGGUGGGUAGUUUGACUGGGGCGGUCUCCUCCUAAAGAGUAACGGAGGAGCACGAAGGUUGGCUAAUCCUGGUCGGACAUCAGGAGGUUAGUGCAAUGGCAUAAGCCAGCUUGACUGCGAGCGUGACGGCGCGAGCAGGUGCGAAAGCAGGUCAUAGUGAUCCGGUGGUUCUGAAUGGAAGGGCCAUCGCUCAACGGAUAAAAGGUACUCCGGGGAUAACAGGCUGAUACCGCCCAAGAGUUCAUAUCGACGGCGGUGUUUGGCACCUCGAUGUCGGCUCAUCACAUCCUGGGGCUGAAGUAGGUCCCAAGGGUAUGGCUGUUCGCCAUUUAAAGUGGUACGCGAGCUGGGUUUAGAACGUCGUGAGACAGUUCGGUCCCUAUCUGCCGUGGGCGCUGGAGAACUGAGGGGGGCUGCUCCUAGUACGAGAGGACCGGAGUGGACGCAUCACUGGUGUUCGGGUUGUCAUGCCAAUGGCACUGCCCGGUAGCUAAAUGCGGAAGAGAUAAGUGCUGAAAGCAUCUAAGCACGAAACUUGCCCCGAGAUGAGUUCUCCCUGACCCUUUAAGGGUCCUGAAGGAACGUUGAAGACGACGACGUUGAUAGGCCGGGUGUGUAAGCGCAGCGAUGCGUUGAGCUAACCGGUACUAAUGAACCGUGAGGCUUAACCUUACAACGCCGAAGCUGUU